AGAGACAAAAAAAAAAAAAAAGGAAGGAAAGAAACUCUAAUAAUUCAAAGUGAUAGUAGGGGAUUUGAUGUCGAGAGGGUGGUGAAGCACGCGCUAAGUGGGCCGGUGGGAUACACUGAUAGAAACCAGAAAUGCUAAAAAUGGCACGGCUGGUGUGUCCUGGCUGGCAGUCCCUUAAUGGGCUAUGGAAGUCUGUCUUGGAAGCACGUGAGUCUGACACGUGUAUCGAGGUUGAGGUAGGGUCAUUGUAAAGCACUCGUGAGUCAUGACCGCAUCAGGAAUUUAAAAAAAAAAAAAAGGCAAAAAGACAGUUUCUCACCUUUCUCGUGAGGUCAUGAUAGUCCUUGGCGCCUGG
rnacentral:misc_RNA from 1 species